rnacentral:rRNA from 1 species
UACGUAGGCAGCAAGCGUUGUUCGGAAUUACUGGGCGUAAAGAGUGUGUAGGCGGUGCUCUAAGUCUGUUGUGAAAUCUCCCGGCUUAACUGGGAGGGUGCGGCGGAGACUGGAGUGCUAGAGUGUGGGAGAGGUAAGCGGAAUUCCUGGUGUAGCGGUGAAAUGCGUAGAUAUCAGGAGGAACACCUGUGGUGUAGAUAGCUUACUGGACCACGACUGACGCUGAGACACGAAAGCGUGGGUAGCAAACAGG